rnacentral:lncRNA from 9 species
AUGGCAGGUAUUCCUUGCCAAGCGGGCCUUCCUUCACCCCAGACGCUCCUUCCUCUGGAGAUGGGAAUGCUGAACAUAGCUGCUGGUGCCUGGAUCCUAGCUGCUGUGGUCUGGAACCACCAGUCUGUCAAGGACGCACCACCUUCCUUCCCACCUUCUUUCAAAGUUCCCUUCAAGCCGGACUCCCAGGAAGUCAGCGGGGCUGCUCUCGUGGCCUGUCUGGGUUCCUUUGCACUCUUGGUUGGUGGGCUGGUUGUCCUCUCUUACAAAUACUCGCUAGAGAGCCGAGUGCACCCCGCACCUUCAGACACAGAGAAUUCCUCGUUGCACUGGCUUUCCAAACCCCACAUUACCAGGCUUCAUAGGAAGGAUUACAUCAGGCUGCUGUGUCACUGACUUGGAAGGACUCUAGGCCACGUCAAAGGUAAUUUGGGCCGAUAAUGGCUGUUACCCUCUGUGGCUGCGUUUGAAUCACUCAUUGCCUAGUCGAAUACACAAAAUCCCAUUAAAAAUCUUACCUACUUGCCAGCUGGUCUUAUAGGAUCUGCACUUUAAUGACUGUCAAAUAAAUCAUCCAUAUUCUCAACCUCGUGUGGACAGAGGUUUCAGAGAGACUCACGUCUCCCUCUUCAAUUUCUGCUAAAAACAACCAGCCUUCUUUCCUACAGCCUGGUAAUCACCUGUAUCAUGUCAGACUGUCCAAGAUGUGCACAGGGAGAAGAGUACAUGCAACCACUCCCCCACUUUACUACCAGACUCAAAAGGUAGCAAGAUUCUGCCACACUAGCUUUAUCUCUCCCUUCCCCUGUUUGGUUUUUUAUUUAUUUAUUUAUUUUUAGGGCCACACCUACAACAUAUGGAAGUUCCCAUGCUAGGGGUCCAAUCAGACCUGCAGUUGCCAGCCUACACCAGAGCCUAUAGCAACCCCGGAUCCUUAACCUAUGGGUUGAGGCCAGGGAUCGAACCCGAACGCUCACGGACACUAUACUGGGUUCUUUACCUGCUCAGCCACACUGGGAACUCCCUCCCCUCUUUGAACCUCUUUUUCUUUUUCCACCCGAUUUUAAAGCAAACCCCAGGCAUCAGGCUCCCUGAUAUCCCCCAACAGUGAUUCAAUAUUACUAACAAAUGGGCAUUUCCUCACAGAGCCAUAUUCUACCUGAAAAACAUUAAGAAUCAGUCCUGUGAUCAAAUACUUAGAAAUGUUUAAUGCCUCAAAAAUAACUCUGUGCUUCUGGUUUUUUUUUUUUUUCCCCACACAAGACACUCACACUGCCUCUCAGGUCUUCAUGUAAAGCACUCCCUGCCAUCUAAGAAAAGGACUCUGACUUGAAAGUGGCUCAACUGUCCUUGCAUUAAAGGUGUUCCUUCUCCAGGCUUCAUUUUCCUUAAGGGCCG